CAAUAGCGUAUAUUAAAGUUGUUGCGGUUAAAAAGCUCGUAGUUGGAUCUCGGCAGGCAGGGGGUGGUUCGCUCUUAGCGCUACUGCCCCAUUUGCCUGUGUGAUUGGCGGAGGUUUCGGGGUGCUCUUCGUUGAGUGACCCGGGGCGCCGUCAGGUUUACUUUGAAAAAAUUAGAGUGCUCAAAGCAGGCUUUUCACGCUUGAAUAUUCGUGCAUGGAAUAAUGGAAUAGGAACUCGUUUCUAUUUUGUUGGUUUUCGGAAAUCGAGUUAAUGAUUAAUAGGGACAAUUGGGGGCAUUAGCAUUCAGACGACAGAGGUGAAAUUCUUGGACCGUCUGAAGACUAACUACUGCGAAAGCAUUUGCCAAGAGUGUUUUCAUUAA
rnacentral:rRNA from 1 species